GAGGAGGGGGCAUGGCGUACAGUCAGACAGGUGUUUUGGGUCCGUUUGGGGGCGGAGCUUCUUCCUUGGAUUAUACAGGAACCAUCGACGCGUCCAGUCACGACUUCCUGCUCGGCCUGAUGGGU